rnacentral:rRNA from 1 species
UACGGAGGGUGCGAGCGUUAAUCGGAAUUACUGGGCGUAAAGCGUGCGCAGGCGGUUCUGAAAGUCAGCUGUGAAAGCCCCGGGCUUAACCUGGGAAUUGCGGUUGAAACUACAGGGCUAGAAUCUGGCAGAGGGGGGUGGAAUUCCACGUGUAGCAGUGAAAUGCGUAGAGAUGUGGAGGAACACCGAUGGCGAAGGCAGCCCCCUGGGCUGAGAUUGACGCUCAGGCACGAAAGCGUGGGGAGCAAACAGG